UACGUAGGAGGCGAGCGUUGUCCGGAGUUACUGGGCGUAAAGGGUGCGCAGGCGGUCUGGUAGGUGUGCGGUGAAAUCUCCUGGCUUACCUGGGAGGGGGCCGCGCAAACGGGCAGACUUGAGGCUCGGGGAGGGGCGUGGAAUUCCGGGUGGAGCGGUGAAAUGCGUAGAGAUCGGGAGGAACACCAGAGGCGAAGGCGGCGACCUGGACAGGCACUGACACUCAACUACGAAAGCGUGGGGAGCAAACAGG
rnacentral:rRNA from 1 species